GGGGGCUUACGGGAGGCAGCAGUGGGGAAUUUUGCGCAAUGGGCGAAAGCCUGACGCAAGCAACGCCGCGUGGAGGAUGAAGGUCUUCGGAUUGUAAACUCCUGUCAGUGGGGAAAAAGGGGAACGUGCUCAUACCACGUUUCAUUGAUUGUACCCGCAGAGGAAGCCCCGGCUAACUCUGUGCCAGCACCCGC
rnacentral:rRNA from 1 species